UACAGAGGGGGCUAGCGUUGUUCGGAAUUACUGGGCGUAAAGGGCGCGUAGGCGGUCUGUUAAGUGAAAGGUGAAAGCCCCGGGCUCAACUUGGGAAUGGCCUUUCAUACUGGCAGACUUGAGACAGGUAGAGGAAAGUGGAAUUACGAGUGUAGAGGUGAAAUUCGUAGAUAUUCGUAGGAACACCAGAGGCGAAGGCGGCUUUCUGGACCUGAUCUGACGCUGAGGCGCGAAAGCGUGGGGAGCAAACAGG
rnacentral:misc_RNA from 1 species